rnacentral:rRNA from 1 species
AGAGUUUGAUCCUGGCUCAGAUUGAACGCUGGCGGCAUGCCUUACACAUGCAAGUCGAACGGCAGCACGGGAGCAAUCCUGGUGGCGAGUGGCGAACGGGUGAGUAAUAUAUCGGAACGUGCCCAGUCGUGGGGGAUAACGCAGCGAAAGCUGUGCUAAUACCGCAUACGAUCUCUGGGUGAAAGCGGGGGACUCGUAAGAGCCUCGCGCGAUUGGAGCGGCCGAUAUCAGAUUAGCUAGUUGGUGGGGUAAAGGCCCACCAAGGCGACGAUCUGUAGCUGGUCUGAGAGGACGACCAGCCACACUGGAACUGAGACACGGUCCAGACUCCUACGGGAGGCAGCAGUGGGGAAUUUUGGACAAUGGGCGCAAGCCUGAUCCAGCAAUGCCGCGUGCAGGAUGAAGGCCUUCGGGUUGUAAACUGCUUUUGUACGGAACGAAAAGGUUUGCCUUAAUACGGUGGGCCCAUGACGGUACCGUAAGAAUAAGCACCGGCUAACUACGUGCCAGCAGCCGCGGUAAUACGUAGGGUGCGAGCGUUAAUCGGAAUUACUGGGCGUAAAGCGUGCGCAGGCGGUUAUAUAAGACAGAUGUGAAAUCCCCGGGCUCAACCUGGGACCUGCAUUUGUGACUGUAUAGCUAGAGUACGGU